rnacentral:lncRNA from 1 species
GUUUGCCAGAUGUUUGAACUCUGGUGAACUGCUGUUCGCUUGUCAGGCUGGCAAUGAGGAGCGAACAAAUACCGCGCUACUCAGCGUCUUCCCCCCUGAGCUGCCAGAGAAUUUCAAACCGCUUCAAAUGCUGGAGCCAAGGGAUCUGCUGAGAAAGAAUAAGUGAGACUGCAGCUUUUGGAAGACAUUUGAUUUUGAUGUGAAAUGCCACAAGCUGAACAAAUGCUCCAGAGCAGAAAAAUAAAAUGGAUUAACAAAUGGAACGAAUCUUUCACACUUCUGACACAGGUUAAUUUUGUUUCUUGUUCUUCACUGGCUUACUGCUGUCUACUUAAAAGUAUGGCGUCUACCUACUGGUCUUUGUGAGUGUCAUGGCAACUAGAAUUAUUGAAUCCAUUUAGAAUACCAUGGAAUCAUAGAAAUUAGAAAAUGCCUUUGAUAUAUUUCUGAGUGCUUUGUCUAAUCCAUUUCCAAAUGACUCAUAGGAUGGGACUAACUAUUUCCUGAGGACACUAUUUCAUGCUCUAACAGAUCUCACCAUUACAAGUGUUUUCCUGAUAUUCAGCCUGUUUUAAAUUUUCCCUUAACUAAUUUAAUCCCUUCGAUCAUCCUAAACAAUUCCUCUCUCCCCUUGAUCUUUAACUUUUUCAAAUAUAUGAAGACACCAUAAGAACCAAAUUUUGAUAUCCAUUAGACUGCUGUAAAUCUGGAGUAACUAAAGUGAGUAAC